AGCGUUUGCAAAAGUCUGCGUUUUUAAAGACAAAAGUAUGCGUCUGCCUGUGGACAAGAGGCCUAAACGCAGAGAUAAGUCUUGCUCUCCCCCCCUUUUUUCUGCCUCUUUUUGUGAGGCGGAGAGAUGUGCCAACACAUCAUAAGCACUUCCAUCUGGACUAUACACACACACCCACAUGCUCAGAAACUGUAUUUUACCCUGAACAUAAACUGGUGAGGCAGUGUGCAUCUGCUGCGCUUAUGCAAUCUUCAACAUCUCCAUGACUGACAAAAGGAGUUGGGGCUAGAGAGAGGCUGCAUAAACGGAGUCAGGCUGAGACUGAGUGUCAGAGGUAAAAGAAAGCACCUCCAAAUCAGGCUGUCAGAGAGAGACAGCAGCAGAAAGGCGGAUUCCAGCCUCCCUGUAUGGGCUUCACAGCGUGCACUCGGCCACUGGGACGACAAAGGAAGGACAGCCUAGCC